AUUGAACGCUAGCGGGAUGCUUUACACAUGCAAGUCGAACGGCAGCGCGGACUUCGGUCUGGCGGCGAGUUGCGAACGGGUGAGUAAUGUAUCGGAACGUGCCCAGUAGCGGGGGAUAACUACGCGAAAGCGUAGCUAAUACCGCAUACGCCCUACGGGGGAAAGCAGGGGAUCGUAAGACCUUGCACUAUUGGAGCGGCCGAUAUCGGAUUAGCUAGUUGGUGAGGUAACGGCUCACCAAGGCGACGAUCCGUAGCUGGUUUGAGAGGACGACCAGCCACCUGGGGCCUGGAACCCGGCCCAGCCCCCUAGGGGGGGCAGCGGGGGGAAUUUUGGGACAAGGGGGGCAACCCGUAUCCAGCCACCCCGGGGGGGGGAUGAAGGCCUUCGGGUUGUAAAGCCUUUUUGGGAGGAAAAAAACGUCGGGGGCUAAUACCCCGUGGAACUGCCGGUCCCUGCAGAAUAAGCCCCGGCUAACUACGU
rnacentral:rRNA from 1 species